CACGUAGGGCGCAAGCGUUGUCCGGAAUUAUUGGGCGUAAAGAGCUCGUAGGCGGUCUGUUGCGUCCGCUGUGAAAUCUCGGGGCUUAACCCCGAGCCUGCAGUGGAUACGGGCAGACUAGAGGUAGGUAGGGGAGAAUGGAAUUCCCGGUGUAGCGGUGAAAUGCGCAGAUAUCGGGAGGAACACCGGUGGCGAAGGCGGUUCUCUGGGCCUUACCUGACGCUGAGGAGCGAAAGCCAGGGGAGCAAACGGG
rnacentral:rRNA from 1 species